GCCACAUGGUCAUCUCCUUCAUGACCAGCCACCACCACCAGCAACCUUCUUCUUCUUCCAACACCAUCUCUUUUUUCUCUCCUUCUUCUCCCUCACCACCACCAGCACCCUUCCUUUCCCCAUUCCCUACCACCACCGGCAACCAGCACCGUUCUUUUUCCCAUCUCCCUCACCACCGCCAACACCAUCUCUUCUUUCUCUCCCUCUUCUCCUUCACCACCACCAGCACCCUUCCUUCCCCCAUUCCCUACCACCACCGGCAACCUUCUCUUCCCCCUUCCUCCAAUCCCAUCCCAAUCAUUUUCUCUCUGAUCAACCAUAAAUUUGGCUGAGCAGAGCCGAUCUGAGCCAUAUAAGCCGAGUCCAGAAGCCAGCCGAGCCGAUUCCAGAUCAACAGCUCAACCCAGCAGCCAGUCUAGCCGAUCAGCAGCCAGAUCAGUC
rnacentral:lncRNA from 1 species